rnacentral:rRNA from 1 species
AUUGAACGCUGGCGGCAGGCCUAACACAUGCAAGUCGAGCGGAUGAAGGGAGCUUGCUCCUGGAUUCAGCGGCGGACGGGUGAGUAAUGCCUAGGAAUCUGCCUGGUAGUGGGGGAUAACGUCCGGAAACGGGGGCUAAUACCGCAUACGUCCUGAGGGAGAAAGUGGGGGAUCUUCGGACCUCACGCUAUCAGAUGAGCCUAGGUCGGAUUAGCUAGUGGGGGGGGUAAAGGCCUACCAAGGCGGCGAUCCGUAACUGGUCUGAGAGGAUGAUCAGUCACCUGGGAAGUGAGAAACGGCCCAGACUCCUACGGGAGGCAGCAGUGGGGAAUAUUGGACGAGGGGCGAAAGCCUGAUACAGCCAUGCCGCGUGUGUGAAGAAGGUCUUCGGAUUGUAAAGCACUUUAAGUUGGGAGGAAGGGCAGUAAGUUAAUACCUUGCUGUUUUGACGUUACCAACAGAAGAAGCACCGGCUAACUUCGUG